AUUUCGUCUGCCAACCCGCAAGAGUCAUUAACGUAAAUGAGUUUCUUCUUGCAAGAGUUCGCAGACGAA
ensembl:miRNA cin-mir-4173 cin-mir-4173